GACGAACGCUGGCGGCGUGCCUAACACAUGCAAGUCGAACGGUCUAACACUUGUGUUAGAUAGUGGCGGACGGGUGAGUAACGCGUGGGUAACCUACCCAUUAAACCGGGACAACCCUUGGAAACGAGGGCUAAUACCGGAUACGUUUACCGAAGGACAUCCUUUGGUAAAGAAAGGUGGCCUCUGAACAUGCUAUCGAUAAUGGAUGGACCCGCGUCUGAUUAGCUAGUUGGUGGGGUAAAGGCCUACCAAGGCGACGAUCAGUAGCCGGCCUGAGAGGGUGAACGGCCACACUGGGACUGAGACACGGCCCAGACUCCUACGGGAGGCAG
rnacentral:rRNA from 1 species